UCAUAAGAAAUACUGAAAGUGAGAGUUAAUCAAGGUGGAAAUGAGAAAUAAGGAACUCACGAAUGAUCAUACCUGGAAUGCUUCUUUCAAGCCAAGAGUGGGUUAGCUUCCAGCUGUGCUUUUGCUCCUCUUGUAAUUCUCUACUUUGUUCUUUCCUCUCACAGUUCUGUCUUUCUCCUCUCAGCUCAGGCUUUUCUUCCCCCAAGUAUCUCAAUAUCUCUAUAUAACAGCAACCAAAUCCUCCUCACCUCCCUGUAACCAGCCCAGAAAAAAUAUCGCAUCUCUCUCUUAACAAACAAAAUACGCUCCUCCUUCCUUUGCAACCGCCUGCAACUUUUUUUUUUUUUUUCAUUUCUUUCAAACCACCCCAGAAUAUACUCUCAUACGUGUCCAACCCUCUUUGGUUCUCCAAACCACUAGCCUGAUUCCUCACCAGCCAACCAUGAAUCAACACGUGGCUCCUUGAGAGCCCUCCACCUGGUAAGAAAAGUCUGCAGAAAAGUGAGAAAAAUAAGCCCCCAAAAUGGGGGUCUACAGGGUUUUUAAUUAAUCAUUUAUAGGGUUUAAUCGAAGAUGUCGAAAUUGGGUACGUUUUGGGCUUCAAUGGGAGAUUCAUGUAAAAUCCGACACUGGGCUUUCCUGAAUUGCAAUUUGCAGAGUUGAGUCGGUGGAAGGAAGAGGACACUCUGGACAAUAGAGAGAUUUUUGUGGGAUCGACGCUUUGGACUAGAGCUUUUCUAUGUUCCUUUUAGCAUGGAGAAUGGGUUUGCCAACCCUUUUGCCCCUUAAUUUUCAAUGACAUCCUUGGAGAUUCUUACAAGUGGAGAUUCUUAAGGUGAUAUCUGCAGAAGUGUUACCUGUGGUUGUGAAUGAUAGCUUGAAUCCCGUUUGGACUCAAAACUUUUUACUUUGUUGUUGAGGAUGGAUUGCAUGAUACAUUUGGGAAGGAAGAACCAAUAACAUUUUGAGAUAAUGGCGCUUCUGGAACGUCAUUUCAAGAUGAGCUUAACAUUGGUGCUCUUUAAAAGCGCCAUCUUCUGUUUGGUAUAUAAAUUACCCUUAUUUUCCCAAGUAAAAAAAUACCCAACGUUUCCUACCCUAUGUCCAUACUCAGCUGUCGCAGAUCUUCCACCUGAAACUGCACUCGCCACUCCAAUUGCAAAGGGCUGCUGCUGGCAAGCAAACCAAGAGCUGUUGCCAGGAACUUCACCAACAGCUACAUCUAGCUCUUACUUGUAUCGUCUUCAUAAGGUCACCCUCGAGAAGCUCCACAACCCUUGGUUUUGGAAACCUACCCAAGAGAAGGUGGUUUGAUGGGGUUGGGUUCAAAUUCUCACUCUCUCUCUUGUCCUUCAAAUGGUGGCCUCCCUUUCCCUCUCAUCUUUCAUUUUCAAUCUAGGGUUAUGAUUUUUUUUUUUUUUUUUUUUGUCUCUGAUUUUUUUAAGAUCUGAUCAGCUUCUAUUUUUGAUUGUUCAUUUUGGUUUUGGAGCUUCCCAAUCAAUGAGUUGUUGAUUACCUGAGCUUUCAAGCUGCUUGUCAUCAGUGACGAUGGAACAGGUUGCUCUUGGCAUUAGCUCUUGCAAAUGCAGAGAAUACCUUGUUGGCCUUUCACUUGCUGGACAUCUGAAAUGUUUUUUCUCCAUGACCUCCUCAGAUCAUUGUACUUUUCUAUUUGAGAGAAUCCUUGAUUCCAUUGGAGAAACGAGACCUGCAAAUUGCCAAGAGCUUGAUGUUAGAGAUUGUACAGGUGCUUUGGAAAAGAAGAAUAAGUUAUCAAUGGAGACUGUCAAAGAAGUUGCAGCUAUUUCAAACUCAGAGGCACAACCUGAAGAAAGUGGUAAGAGUGUAGAUGCUGUGUGGGAGCAAAUGAAUAAAGGAGUAUCUGUUAAGGUGCUCAAAUCUUUUACAAACAAACCCAGUUCAACUGUGAACAGAACUUCGACUGUGUAUGACAUUUAUAUGGGCCUGGGGCCAAAGAAGAGAGUUUAUCUUCAGCAAGAUGUACAACAGAAGGGAUCUAGUGUUACAGAGAAUAGCACCAAUGAUGAGGUGAAGAGACUUGCUGCUGCUGCUCUUUCCGCAGUUAGGAUGCUGCAGCAGCUGCUUCAGGCAGAGGAAAAGUUGAAAUUGCAGAGGUAUGGGACUUUGCGGGUGGAGAUAGAAGUAAAGAAGCUUGUUGAUGCUUCAGAGGAGGCAUCUGAAAGGGCCAAAGGUCCAGCUGGUACAGCAUCUGCAGCUGAUCAUGCUCGACAAGACAAGAAAGGAUGGGGGUGAGUUCAAGGAAGACAAAAAGGGUCUGGAAGAGGAGUUGGAUGCAUAUAAGAUCUCAGACCAGUACCUGGAGAAGGUUUCUUUAUUGCAAGGAGCAGAUUGCAGGGAAUUUGAGUGGGAGAGGGAUGCUCAGCUGGCUUUGCAGGCCAGGAGAAAGGCCAGAUAUGAGAGAGGAUCCAUGAAAGUACCAUGCCUUGGUUGGCUAGUUUUUUUUUUUUUUUUUUUUAAUUUUUAUUAUUGUUGUUGUUUGUAAAUUAAAGGGAGAAGAUAAGGAAGAGUUGCAAAUUGAACGAGGCUAAUUGUUUUUGUAUAGUGUGUAGGAUGAGAUAUUCGCCCCUAGCUGCAAGGUUUUGUAACUAUUUGUAUACAAGAAAAUAUGUCCUCUUUUCUUAGGUGGUCACAGGUCCCUUUGAUUCCCCAAAUUGUGAAACCGAGGGAUGGAGUCUUGUGCAGUGUUCUGGUAUCUUCCCCUCGUUUAUUUAAUGAAUACCAAUGUCUAAUUCUAUAA